rnacentral:rRNA from 1 species
UACGUAGGGUGCGAGCGUUGUCCGGAAUUAUUGGGCGUAAAGAGCUCGUAGGCGGUUUUGUCGCGUCGGAUGUGAAAGCCCCGGGGGCUUAACUCCCGGGGUCUGCAUUCGAUACGGGCAGGCUAGAGUUCGGUAGGGGAGAUCGGAAUUCCUGGUGUAGCGGUGAAAUGCGCAGAUAUCAGGAGGACACCGGUGGCGAAGGCAGAUCUCUGGGCCACUACUGACGCUGAGAAGCGAAAGCAUGGGGAGCGAACAGG